UUUAAUGGUGUUUUUGAGAAUUCUAUUGAUUCCUUCUAAAUGUUAAAAUUAUGUUCACUACCAGGUUAUUAGCUUUUGUACUGCACUUCCACACACAUACAAUUUUUUUUCUUUUUUCUUAUACCUUCCAUGUCGUCUGGUCCAGAACUUGUACACUGUGGGGGUUAAUUAUGGAUAUGGAUCUAUGAAAUAUUAUUAGCAUGAAAAUAUACAUGGCGUGUAUGGAACAAAAUGGACUCUAAUGCUUUUUCUUGUGAUGUAGGAUGCUUUUGGCGCUGAGAGGAGGAAAGCUAUAAGAUGCUAAAUCUCUCCAUUGCAUGCGGAAAAACGUAGGAAGGGCACUGCAGCUGAUGUUGCUGUGUGCAAUGCUUGAGAUAGACAGAAAUACUCGUCUUAAGGAGCUUGGUUGGGCGCUACUCAUGUGGGUAGUUUAUGCAUAAAGUUAUGCCUGUUCGCUGCUUAAAUGUUGCCAUAUUUUGUUUUUCUCUUUGAAACUGUGAAGGGCACAACUUUUUAAUGACUUCUGUAACUUGUGUAUCUAACAUCUGUAUUCGGUAUUCUGAGUUAAAAUAGGCACAUUUAAUUAUAUUUUACAUAAUUUCUUUUAAAGAAUA